GUAUUCGUAUUUGGGUUAUGGGUUUUGACAUUUGUUGGUCAUUUUUCUUUUUUUUUUGGUUUUGGGGGGUUUUUGAGUUUUGUUGGUUAUUUGUAGCAAAAAAUAUUAUUUUUUUAUUUUAUUUUACAGUUGUUUGUUUGUCAUUCAUUGAAAAUGAAGUUUGUUGCUGGUUUGUCCGUCAGCGCUUUGGCUGCUAAAGUCGCCGAAAAGAACGACGGUGAUGGUGGCGACAAGGAUGAGCUCGUGCAGAGGUGGAGAUGUUGUUGAUGAUUUCGCAU
rnacentral:lncRNA from 1 species